rnacentral:rRNA from 1 species
UACAGAGGUCUCAAGCGUUGUUCGGAUUCAUUGGGCGUAAAGGGUGCGUAGGCGGCGCGGUAAGUCGGGUGUGAAAGCCCACGGCUCAACCGUGGAAGCGCAUCCGAAACGGCCUCGCUCGAGUCUCGGAGAGGAAGGUGGAAUGCUUGGUGUAGAAGUGAAAUUCGUAGAUAUCAAGCAGAACACCUGCGGCGAAGGCGGCCUUCUGGACGAUGACUGACGCUGAGACGCGAAAGCGUGGGGAGCAAACAGG